AGUAAAAAAGUUACAGUUAACUAAGGUUAACUUAUUGAAGAAAAAAUAUUUUUAAUAAAUUUAGUGUAGCCUAAGUGUACAAUGUUAAUAAAUUCUGCAGUAGUCUACAGUAAUGUCCUAGGCCUUUACAUUCUCUCACCACUCACUCACUGACUUACCCAGAGCAACUUCCAGUCCUACAAGUUCCAUUCAUGGUAAAUGCCCUCUCCAAGUAUACCAUUUAAAAAAAUCUUUUAUACUAUAUUUUUACUGUACCUUUUCUAUGUUUAGAUACACAAAUACCAUUGUGCUACAAUUGCCUAUUGUUAUUAGUACAUCAACAUGCUAUACAGGCUUGUAGCCUAGAAGCAAUAGGCUAUAGAAUAUAGCCUAAGUGUGUAGUAGGCUAUCCCAUCUAGGUUUGUGAAAAUGUACUCUAUGAUGUCUGUACAACAACAAAAAAGUCUAAAGACUCAUUUCUCAGAAUAUAACCCUAUUAUUAAGCAAUGCAUGACUGCAGGUAGCAAACCAUUGAUUAAUCAGUGGCUCAAUAAUUAAUAGAAGGAAUAAAUUGUUGCAAGCCAUCUAUGUGCCUGACUUUGGGCAUUAUGAUGGAGAGAAGAUAAGAAUAAGUUAUUGCUCUGUGCUCUCAAGUUUCAAAGAGGGGUGUAGCUGCUGUUUCUCAGCCUGAGAAUUGUCCUUUCUCACAACUGAAAAACAGAAAAAACUCACAAUCUAGUAGGGAAACCAAACAGGGAAAUAAAUGAAUGACAAACAAUAUAACCAAUACUCCAAUAGAGAGAGCACGAAAUAUACAAUGAUAAACCAGGCAUGAAGGAGGGUCAACUAUUUGUGGGGUUAUCAGCUAUGAUGAUUAAUUUGAUUUUCUAACAAAAAACCUAAAGUAAUAGAAUUUUUUUGCUUUUACCCUUAGUGUUGAAACUCUAAGAGGUAUGUUCCACUCUCCUACUUCUAUAAGUUAAGUCUAGGAAACAUUCCUUUAUCUACAUCUUGCCUCAUCCCACAAAGGAUUAGAGGAAAUGCUAUAUUCAAUAAAACAAUGACUAAGUAUAAUGUAAUAGAAGAAAAGGAUUCUUAUUUAAAACUUAGACUGUGACUACUUUCACCUUCUAUAGGUGGGAGAAGGCUGUGUAAAUUAAUCAUAUCAGUGGAAAUAUAAAUCAUAUAUCACUUCCUUCCAUACUCAGGCACUAAUAUUUAUUAGUGGCAAGUCUGAGAUUUCAAAGUCUGCCAGUUUUAAGCUGCUCAAGAGGUCCUCUGAAUAUAUGGUCUUAGAGAUACAUUAGUGAGCAUUUGGGUAUGUGAAGUUCAGCCUAGAGUUCAGGGGUCACGCUAUAUUGUCAUCUAUAAUAAGUGAGAAAAAUUCCAUUUCCUGGGAGCAGUUCAAUAUGAAGGGCCCCCCAAAAAUGGACUAGCCAGAGCAGUGUGAAGAGCCUACUGAGGAGGACAAAAAACACAGACAAAAGUGCCAAAGUAAAACCCAUUUAUUUUCCCAAAAUAGCAACAAAGCCUGCUGUGAUACCAAAUACUUGGAGUGACUUGAUUUUUCUUUAGGUGGGGGAACAUUAAUUUAAUUUAAUUUUUUUUAAAGAGUUGAGUUUUGAAUUUGGGGUUGUUUGGGCACAGAAGGAAGAGAACAGAGAAAAGAGAUAGGAAAGAGUGAGAUCCUAAGUUUAAUGGGAGCAGAAAUGCAGUCAGGGAUGGCCACGAGAAUGAAAUUGUGCCUCUUCCCCAUCACCCUUGCUCCUCAUUCAGUGAUUUGCAGAAUCCUAGACAGACAGGGAAUUGGAUUUCCUGUUGCAUGUGAGAUAGAAUGACCAGGCAAAUUAAAUUAAGAAUGUCUUCUGACAAGGAGCUGGGACCAGGAAAACUGUAAACAAAAGAUGAGUAUCAAUUAUAUGUGUGGGUAAAGAGGUCAAAUAGGGAGAGGGAAAUCAAAACAUCUGGAUUCUCCAGUCCAAACAGUUAGCUCUAGCUGGUAUUUUGGAGUGAGCACCAUCUAGGGCUUUACCUGCAAAAAGUAAAGAUGAGACUGAGAUGAGUCUGUUCAGAUUCUAGGCUGGAUCUGACAUGCAAAUUUUGUUUGUGUGUUUUUCUGUCUGCUUGCUAUGUUUAAUUCUCCACCCACUUUUUCACUAUUACAGAAGAUUUAUUUAUUUAUUUAUUUUGACCAACUGAGGUCUAGUUAAUUCAGUUUCAAAUUGAUAUUUAAAAAUUAUUUCUUGUUUUGUAUUAUCUAUUCUUCCCACACAUAUGACUAGGCAACCAGAGUUGACUCAAUAAUAAUGAUGAUGCUGAUGAGAACUGUAACUUAUGAAGCUAUUCUUCUUAUGUGCCAGGGACUAAGGGCCACCAGGCACUGAGCUGUGAUGCUCCCCACCUCCCCACGGCUCUCUCAACACAUUUCCUCUUUUGGUUACUGCUGUCAUCCUGGAAGCCUUCAUGCCUACCCUCUGACUCUGCCCCAGGCAUGGAGCCUGGUGAGCCUCAGAUGGAAGAGGCGCUCCUGGUCAAUGUCUGACCUCCAGGAAGAGGCCCAGUGCCCAGGGUUUAGGACUCUGAGAGGAGGAUUUGGAGCAGAGUUAACUCAUGAAGGUCUGUGCUAAUAAAAGGAUG